GACGAACGCUGGCGGCGUGCCUAACACAUGCAAGUGGAGCGACGAACCGGGCUUCGGCCCGGGGCCAAGCCGCGAACGGGUGAGUAACACGUGGGUAACCUGCCCUGAUGAUUGGGACAACCCGAGGAAACUCGGGCUAAUACCGAAUGUGCCCUCCGACCAUAAGGUCUGCGGGGAAAGGAAGCUUCGGCCUCCGCAUCGGGAUGGGCCCGCGGCGCAUUAGCUUGUUGGUGAGGUAACGGCUCACCAAGGCGACGAUGCGUAGCUGGUCUGAGAGGACGAUCAGCCACACUGGGACUGAGACACGGCCCAGACUCCUACGGGAGGCAGC
rnacentral:rRNA from 1 species